GGAAGGAAGGAAGGAUCGGAGGAUUGGAAGCAGCUCUGAAGGUGGUGGUUGAAGCAAGAGGGAGCCGAGGAAACGGUGCCGAGGAAGUGGAGGAGGCAAGCCCCAAAUGUAACUGGAGUACUGAAGUAGGAGUUAGGGGGCUGGUAGAUUUAUGCUGGUAAAAUGUCUCGAGAAAGGAAGACAUGGAAAAGUUUAACAUUUUAACAUCAAGAGGAGUCUUCAGUUACUCCGGGGGUGUAAAUCAGGGACGUAUUGGUGUGAGGUAUUGACCCAGUGAUCCUAGCUGUAAACAGAAACACUGUCUGGUGUAAAGCCCCCUAUUCCAGCCUCUAUUCCAGUGAGAGGAA